AGUCAGUUAUGGUGUGUGAGUGAACUGCGAAGGACAUCGCAGGAACACUUUCUCCGAUUUCAAACGUAAAAAUGCCUUCAAUAUUUGAGGAAUCAAGUCAAAACUGCUGCAGCCGAAGCAAUAGACCAACUUGCCUUCCCGCGACUGACCCCGGUAUCCUCUCAUCGAUGUCGACAAGCCAACCGUCCUACUCCUACCGACAUAUGGGACUCCUACCGACUUAUGGGACAGCAAUAGACCAACUUGCCUUCCCGCGACUGAUCCCGGCACCCUCCCAUCGAUGUCGACAAGCCAACCGUCCUACUCCUACCGACAUGGACAUAACAGAACCUUCACCAAGAUGAAGAAUACUAGUAACUCGGCGUACAUGAAUUGAUGACUCGGGAUAGGUGUAAUAGUAAAUGCCCUCAGGAUAGAUUGUUCCGGGGACGAAUGAUAUCAUUAUUCAUAAUGUCUGAGGUAUUGACGGUCAUUGGUCUCAGUUUAACAAUACCUCAACCCAAAACAAACCGGGGAAGGACACUGUUGCUAGUGGGACAUUCCAAACUGCUACACUGAUACGAUUCCCGCCAAACCUGAGCGCCACCUGCAUGCUCCCGCAUGAAGUCCACACAGGGCUUCUUGAUGGAAAUAUCUUUUUGUUAAACCUCCAUCGCAUUAGUGAUUUUUAUUCAUUGACUGAUCAAGAUACCAACAUGUUAGUAAGUUUAAAAUAUCAA